AGUCAUUUAUAAAUUAGGUUUUCUAAAUAUCAUAUCUUGAAUAUCUUUAAUUUUUUAAAUUAAAAACUAAUUAUAAUUUCAUUAUAUCAAAUAUUGUAUAAUUAUAUUUGCUAUCAAAUAUCAAAAAAAGAAAAAUAUAAUUAAUUUAUUUUUAAUAAGAUUGGUAAUAAUAUUAGAUUCCAAUUUACUAUUGUAUUCCUAGAGAAAAACCUAUACUAUUAAUUUGAUUUAUCAAAUUAUAUUAUAUUAGUCAUUGUAUAUUAACAAAAAAAAUGGAACAUGUAAAAAUACAAAAUAAAAUGGAAUUCAUUUUAAAUGAUUAAAAAUUUUUUAUCUAUAUUAUAAUAAUAUCCAUGAUAUUAUUUGAUAAUUAGAAUCUAAAAAUAUUAAUUUUAACUUUAGAUAUUCAUGCUAUUAAAAGUUAUAUCAUAAAUGAUUAUGAUUUAAAAAUAUAUAUUAAUUUUAUAUUAAUUUUAUAUUGUAUUAACUUCAUAUGCAAUCACUACAAAAUUGUCAGCACGCGGGACAAAAUGGCUGACAGUGACACAUAAUAACAAACGAACGAAGAGGUUCAAGAACGAGUGACGUGGAUGUCUCUCCGGUUCGACUCAUAUACUCUACCUGUGCUGAUCUGACGUCACGGAUAUGCUUCUUAUCAGGUAGAAGCGCCAACACCUGUAAGCUCGCACCUGUAUGCUUGAGCUUACCACCGAUUGGAACGCUCUGAGCUGAAUUUUCUUAUGAAAGAUAUUUCUAUACUCAAGACAAUACAAUUAACACAUUUACUUAAGCAAUUACUUAAAGAAUAAUAUAAAAUAGUACGAAUUUCAUCAGAAAAUCUAAUUCAUCAAGGUUUUAAAGCUCUAGUUUUAAGUUGUAUUUAAGAAUAUAAGUUUCGUAUGAAAUAUAAUUGAUGAAAUAGUAUUCAAUUCUAAAGUUCUCUUUUUUAUAGAAAAGAAAGAAGAUAAAAAAUAAAAAAAAUAAAAAAAGCUAUACUUGAUCAUCAAUUCAUUUUUUAAAAUUUUUGAAAAAAAAUAAUUAUAAAUCCAUGGAUGUAAAACUGACGAACGAUAUCAAUAGCAAUAGUUAAUGCUAUAGUUCAGAGUAAACACAGGUUCUAUAAAAAGGAAAAGAAAAAAAUAAUAAAAGACAGAAACGGAACCGUUGCUUUGACGAUGUCACGCGCGUUUACGUGGUGCGUUGCACCUUAUCUCGUGUCCUAGUUACAUCAUCGUACACGAUUUUGUAGUUCUUACACAAUUCCGAUCGGAAGGAACUAACAAUAGCCAUCGCUGAUCAAUUCAUGAUUUACUAAUAAUAUCAUGUUUUAUUUCACCAUGAUAAAUUUUUCAUCGUUUAAUUAAAGUAUAGAAUGUAUUUUAUUUUAGAAUAAACGCAUCGUUCAAAAAAGUUUUUGAUUUUAAUUAAACUGUAAUGGUUGAACGACUGCCAAUGGGAACUGAUGAUUUGUUCCUAAAAAAAAAAUUUGUAUAAUAAUUCUUUUAAUAAUUUUUGUUUUUUGAUUCAUUAUUCAUAAAUACCUGUAGGCUUCAUAAAAAAUUUUUCUGACUUCCUCAAACAUUUGUUUAUAAGUUGCAAGAUCGGCAACUUUGUCUUUUUGCACAGCAUCUAAUCUAGCUUUCAACGCGAGACAUUCUUCUUGCAAUAAUUCCAUUCUAUUUAAAAUUUAUCAAAAAUUAUUAGAUAAAGUUUAAGUAUUUUAGAUAAUUUAUAUUUACAUGUCUUCUGUUGCUUACUUAAGCCGCAUUUGCUCUAUAUCCAUUAAUUUAUCAUUAGUUUUUGAUAAUUUUGGUAAUUUUGUCCUAUAUCCAGUAUCAAUCUUAACAAUUCCUAUUUUUUCUGUCUCUAAUUUUCGAAUUUUUAACUCUAAUUUUGCCGAUUUGUAUUUUUCAUUACGUAAGAUAUUCUACAUAUAAUUCAUUUGAUUAGAAAUUCAAUCAAGAGAUAAGAAUACAAAUAAUAUUGUAGAAGACUCACAGAAAGAAUAUCAGCAUCAUUUCUUUCUUUAUCUAGUCGUCUAUUAAGUAUUGUUAUUAAUUCCAGCAAUCUCUCUCUUUCAGCCUCAGCGGCAAGAGCUAAAGUUACAUACUCGUUAGGUUCGCAUGUACUUCGAACGGUAUGAGGAGAGGUAUUAUUGUUAAAAUUAUUUAAAAAUAUUUCCGGUUGCGUAAUUUUUUGAGAUUUAAUCUCCCAUAUAUUGGGGAUCGUUCCAUUCCUAAAAUUAAUAAUACAUUUUUAUAAAAAUCUGUUUAUAUUUUUUAUUUUUUCUAAAAAUAGAAAAAUUAGAAAACCUCAAUUUAUCUAUUUCGAUUUCUCGUUCUUCUAAUUUUUUACGCAACCGAUCAAUUUGAAGUUGUGCUGACUGUAAAUCAUUUUUCAAAUUCGUGUACUCACGUUCAAUCUUCUCUGAUCUGUUUCUUGUAUCUGUCUCGCGUUCUUCAUGUUUUAUUUCGGUAGUUUUAAGCCGAUUCUACAAAAUUCAUUAAAUAUAAAAGAAACGAAUAAUUCAAUAUCAUCGAAUACUUACGUUGAGUGUCUCAAUUAAAUGAAUAUCGUGAGAUCUUUUUUCAUUUAAUAUAGCAAUGUUUCCUUUUGUAAUAUUUAAUUCAUGCUCUAAUACUUUUAUUCUUGCUUUUGAAGCUUCUAAUUUUCUUUUAUAUUCUUCAACAAUGACUUCUGUUUGUCGAAGUUGCUUUACUGAAUCUUCAAUUUGACGCCGUCUUUCUUUUUCAACAUUUCGAAGAUUCUCAAAAUUUUUUCGUUCUACGGAUACUAAGAAAAAAUAUAAAUUUUAUCAAUAGAAAUCUAAAAUUUAGAAAUUUUAUUUUAAUACCAAUAGAUGUUUUUUGCGUUCCUUCAUAUUCCGAUAAUUUUGAUUGCAAUUCAGUUAUUUUUUGAUGUAAUAGAUGAAUCUGUUCAGCUCUUCCACGCCAUCCGGAUUGAUUCGAUAAAUUAUUCAAAUUCACAUUUUCACCAAUUUCGCUAUAUAAUAACUACAUUUGCAAUUUUAAAAGUAUCUUUAUUUUUUCCCAUACAAUUUCUAAUAAGAUAUUUAAAUAAAAUACCUUAUUCAAUUUAUUAAUCUCUUGUUUAAGACUGAUGCAGUUAUUUUUAGAUUCAUAUAGUUUCGUUUGAGUUAGUUGUAAUUUUUCGAGUAAAUGUUUCAUUCGGUCCUCAUUUUCCCUCGGCAAAUUAUUUUUGGUACCUUUGUCAAGGAUACCAUCCUGUAUCUCGAUCAUGAUGAAAUAAUGAUAAAGGAAAAUAAUAGUGUAAAAAUGUUGUAUGCAAUUGAAAAAUUUUUAAUAUAACUCACUCUGCUGAGAGGAGUCAUCAGUUUUGAAAUAUCUUCUUUCAUGUCGCUCAUUUUCUAAUUCUGUUUCUUUAUUAAUUAAAUGAAUUUCAAGAUUUUUACAUUUAGACUUAAGAACUUCAAUUUCUGCGGUCUGUUCUCUACAUCUUUUGCUAAGCUCAAUAAUCUUCGCAGUUGCUAUUUCAUUUGGUUUUCCUAAAAUUAUUGAUUGUCCAUUUUCUGUGAUUCCUUUUUUUCGUACUUUUUCUUCCAUUUCUUCAAGUGCUCGUCGCAAACAACCAUUUUCAGUAAUUAAAUCCUAUUAUAUUUAUUUAUAUUUAAUAAAAAUUAUUUAAUUUAAUUUUAUAUAGGAUUUAUAUGAAAUUUUAUAAUGAAAUUGAAUGAAAUUAUUCUAUAUAUUCAAAGUAUUAUUAAUAUUAUUAAUAAUUAAUAAAUAUUAAUAAUUAUUAUUUUAAAAAAUAAUUAUAAUUUCAUAAAUAGAAUUUAUUUCGAUUACCUGAAUUCGAUUCCUCAAAAAUAGAUUUAAUUCUUUUGGAAAGAUAAUAUGAUCAGGUAAAUUCUCCUAGGACAUAUUAAAAAUAUCAUUCUUUUCCGUAUAUUUCACAAAUAUAAUUCAAUUAUAAAAUACGUAUUACAACAAUUUAAGAAUUAAGUACCUCUGUUAAUUCUUUUGUCCAUGGAAUCGUCGCUUCAAAAUCUAAAGAAUUAUUCACUUCAUCUUGUAUUAUUUUAUUUAUUAUUUUUGAUUUAGACAUAUUUUGUAUGAAUACUAAAUUAUCAAAAUUUUUUUCUAACCUCCCUUAAUAUAAAUUAAGACAAUUCUUCAGUUUUAGUAUAUAAUAUUAAAAUUGUUAUAAUGUGACAUUUUUUUUAUCUAUGAACUGCAUAUAAAUUUUAUAACAACAUAUUGUUACGUAAACAUGUGAAGUUUAAAACUUUUGUUCUAAUAAACAUGUAUCCAAUAAAUGAAGAUUUCAUAUACAUGUUAGGUUAAUAAUAUAAAUAAACUGUACAACUUCUAGUAGAUAAAUUUUUUAUCUAUAUUAUCCAACAUGUGAAUGUUUACAAUUAAGAAUAAAUCUUGAUUACAUAAAAAAGCUUAAUUCUAAAUGUCAAAAUAGGAAAAUAAUGAAGUUAAAAUUUAAAUAUUUAUUUCAAAUUAAUUCUAUUGAUUAUGUUUUUGUCAUUCGCAUAUUUUGCUUUCCUUUAUUUCCAGCAUGUUUUUGAAUGUUUCUGUUAUUUCCACCUGCUAAUUUUCCUGCCUUUUGUAGAGCAUGCAAUUUAAAAUUUUUAACAACACCUACUUUUUUGUUGUUUCCAGAAUAUUGCACAUUUAUUCUUCUCCCAUUAAUAAAUGAAUGAUUGAGUGAAAGUGCUUUCUGUUAAUAAAUAAGUAUAAUAAUAUGUAAUUAUAUAUAUAGAGAUGAUUGAUUCUAAUAAUCAAAAUAAAUUAUAAUAUAAACAUACCUCAUAAUCUGUAUUAUUGGCCAGUUCGAUGUAAGCAAAUCCACGUGCUGUGUUUGCAUCUUUCUUAGGUAUUCUAAUAUCAACUAUUUGAUUGACUUUAGUCAAAAAAUGUUUUUUAAGUUCCUCAUUAGUAAUACUAAAAUAUAAAAAUAUAAAAAUAUAAAAAUAUACAAAAUAUACUACAUAUAGAUGUGUGUGUGUGUGUGUGUGUGUAUGAUUUAAUAUAUAUUAUAUUAUGUAUAUAUAAUAUAUAUAAUAUAUAUAAUAUAUAUAAAUCCUUAUAUGUAAUAUAUAUAAAGGAUUUAUUUAAUAUUUAAUGUUCUUACUUAUAUGGUAAAUUUCCUAUAAAAAGAACAUAUCUUUUCUUUUUACUUUCUUCGUCUGUAUUUAUAGAUUUUCCUUUUUCUUUUAAACCUUGUAUACUUUUUUUAAUUUUAUUAUCUUCAUGUUGCUUAUUAUUCUCAUUUUUUUCAUCUUUUUCUUCUAUAUCAUCAUUGUUAUCGUCAUCAUCAUCAUCAUCAUCCUCUUCAUCAUCCUCAUCAUCUUCUUCCUCUUCCUCAUCUUCUUCAUCUUCCUCAUCUUCCUCAUCAUUAUCCUCUUCCUCAUCUUCUAUAUUACUUUCAUCAUCAUCCAUUUCAAUUUCUUCCUUAUCUUCAUCACUAUCAUCAUCAUCAUCUUCAUUUUUUUGUUUUAAAGAUGUUAAUGUCUUAGUUUGUUUAUCUUUAUUUUUAUUCUCAUUUGACUUGAUCUCUAAUUUUUCUUGCAAUUUUUUUUUCUGUUCAGUACUUUGUAGUUGUUUCUUUUUAACAAAUUCUAUUGAUUUUUCACUUUUUAUAUUUUCCGUCUCUUUUUUUAUAAUUUGUUUAGGUUUAUCUACUCCUUCUUCUAUUCUUAAUCUUUUUUUAAGUGCUGCUAGUUUUCUCCUAGCACUUUUUGUGAGAUUUUGUCGAGCUUCUAUUAUUUGAAUUUUCUUUUUUAUUUCCUCAACAGAUAAAUUACGAUUUAUUUCAUGCUUCAUUUGCCUAUUUGCUUUACGCUUUUUACGAUAUUCUUCUCUCUUUUUUAACAUUUCUAAUUUAUUCUCUUUAUUUGAUAUCUGUUUUUUAUUUUUUUGUGGAUUAUUUUCAUUUAUUUCUUUCAUAUUACAACUUUGAACAACUUUUGAAUCAUAAUCUUUUUUCUUUUCAUUUUUGAACUUUUUAGGUAUGUCCUUUUUAACUUGUUGAUUUGUUUGUCCAUUUUGUACUAUUCCAUUUUCUAAUUUCUUUUUCUUAUGAUUUUUAUUAAAAUUUCCUGAUAUUUCUGUUUUUUUUUCAAUUGCAUCAAACUCACUUGCUGAUCGUUUUUUUAUAUUUUUAACCAUAUUUGUUUUAGUCAUUAUUACGUUAUUUAAUAUAUAGAUUUACU